rnacentral:snRNA from 1 species
GCGCCUGCUUCGGCGACACAUGCACUAAAAUCAGAAUGAUACAGAGAAGAUUAGCACAGCCCCUGCG